rnacentral:lncRNA from 1 species
GUUUUGACACAGGUGAGGUGAAAACCUCCAAACAUAGAGUGAAGAUAUGAGUUGCACGACUAUUCUUGCACUGAAGUACCGCAUAUUAUUUAUAUGCCAAAAACCUCAUAAGAAAGGACUUUUCACAGACUCCUGAAGUAAGUUCUGCCACCAAUUAAUUUGCAAUGCUUUGUGUGAAGGCAGAAUUUGACCACCAUUAUCUAGAGUUUUCCACUAUUCUUUGCCUUAUGAGUAAAUACGCUUGUUUCCACUGCUCUGCCUCAUCAGGAGGAAUCAGUUAUAGUAUAAGAUGAUUAAAUGCCAACCCUCAGUUAUGUCUUACUGUAAGGCUGUCUUUUAUAAUUAUGAGGUAGACUCUAUCCCUCUAUUCACCAAUAGUACCUUACUGCAUGAGCGGAGUGGCUGAACAUGCACUGGGCUACUUAUGAAGUAGCAUACUGUGUAUUUGAGAAUAAUCAUCAAACAGUUGUAUGUCUUAUAGGCCCUGGGAAAGGGUGUCUUACAGGUAUCAAACAAGUAUUUUCUAAGAUAUGUAUUUGAGAGGCAAUUAGCAUAUAAAUUACACAGCUUUUAAAUGUAAUUUGGGAGCAGAUCACUAUGUUAGAAAUGUAUAAAAAUGCAUUAGAGAGUAGCCUCAUUCUUCCUUUUUGUGCUUGUGUAUUUUGCAAGACUAUACAUUCACCCAAUAUGCACUCCUAUAAUAACUCUCCUCUAACAUUUAAUUUACUUAUUUGUUAAAAAAAAAAAAAAAAAAAGCUGGAAUUUGCAGCUACAGCAAAGAGAACUUGAAAGAGAACUUAGGGUUAAUAUACCAAUUAAGUUACUUCUAUAGUAAAAGCCCUUAUACGCAUUUAGGGGCACUUCCAUGACUUUCAAAAAUAAAUACAUUUAUUUUUUGCUUGUUUUAUUCCACAGAUUUCCACACAAUGUUUACCACCAGCCACACAGUGUGGCAGCAGAAAUGCCCAUGUUGCAGACAUGUCCGUCAGGUGGAAGGUCCCUGGCCAAUAAUAGGAGAGUUGUGAAGAGAUUUGGGACUGCGUAAAUAAACUCUGAGCAGAGAUCACACGUGAGGGAGACGAGGUAUUUUUGAUACAUCAACCACUCAAGAGCAUGGAUUUGUCUCUGCUCCUGGGGAUUUCUGUGAAGUCACCUGAGCUGCAAUUCUGCUUUCAGUCUGUUUUUGAGGUGUCUGCUUUCAAACUACCUGAGACAACAGAGGUAAAAAUUUAGAUAAACACAGAACUGUUGGAUUUUCUCUCCUGGCAAAGCACUGUGGAACAGGUACUCCUUUUAUUUCUGUGUAUUUACAAUUAUUUUUCCACAGAAGCAAACUUCUCUGAGCUACUUGGAUGGCUUGGAACAUGGCCUUGCAAUCUUAACCUGCUUUGGCUCCAGUACAGCUUUAGUUUCUCUGGCACCCAUUUCUGGGUUUUCCUGGCAGAAUGAACACCUGUAACAAUGAAACAGACAAAUAAAUAAAGUAGUUUGGUAAUUGGCCA